rnacentral:misc_RNA from 1 species
CAAUUAUUUGAUCCAUAUGCAGAUGCUAUAUGCUUGGACAACACUUUUCAAUGCUGUGAUGGUUGGAAUGAGUGUGUUUAUUGCAAAAUUUUCAAAGAUGAAGUCGACCUAGAUGAAGUUGACUUAAGAUGGUUAGAUGCAGUUUUGGUAUAAGAUCAAUCAGCUCCAUAAUUAUUGAGUUAAGUUGAAGAGGGUGUGUUGUAAAGUCGAAAAAUGUGAGCUAUGAAAACGGGGUGGUUCUUGGGAUUUUUUGCCUUUGCUCAACAGAUGUUCAUCUUUAAAAAGGAAG